CUUAAAGGAAUUGACGGGACCGCACAAGCGGUGGAUGAUGUGGAUUAAUUCGAUGCAACGCGAAAACCUUACCUACCCUUGACAUGUCCGGAAUCCUGCAGAGAUGCGGGAGUGCCCGAAAGGGAAUCGGAACACAGGUGCUGCAUGGCUGUCGUCAGCUCGUGUCGUGAGAUGUUGGGUUAAGUCCCGCAACGAGCGCAACCCUUAUCAUUAGUUGCUACGCAAGGGCACUCUAAUGAGACUGCCGGUGACAAACCGGAGGAAGGUGGGGAUGACGUCAAGUCCUCAUGGCCCUUAUGGGUAGGGCUUCACACGUCAUACAAUGGUCGGUACAGAGGGUUGCCAACCCGCGAGGGGGAGCUAAUCCCACAAAGCCGAUCGUAGUCCGGAUCGCAGUCUGCAACUCGACUGCGUGAAGUCGGAAUCGCUAGUAAUCGUGGAUCAGCAUGUCACGGUGAAUACGUUCCCGGGUCUU
rnacentral:rRNA from 1 species